UUACCCAAUUACAAAGCCGCUGAAAACAACAACAGAGGUUACGCCAAUGAACUAAGGCUUCUGAAGAACAUGAAGCUACAGUGAGAACAAAUUUGCAGUCAUGCUCGAUAACAUCACAAGUUCUCCGUUAUAAUUUCAAAUGCAAAAGCAUAAAUUGUGAAUUCAUACCUAAGUUUUCGAAUCAAGCAAAAUGUAUGACUAUUAUUGUCCAUCUGUAUCCUUUUAACUUCAAUCUUAGUGUGUAAUGUUUCUCAAACGCUUAAUAUGUAGACAUAAUUUCUACUUCACUUCUAUCUUAGUGUAAUUUGUUCCUUCAUCUAUGCGCAUUGUUCAAGAGAACAGACUAUCUGCGGAAGGUAAUUGUACAGGAUAGGCCAACUAAAUACACAAGAGUCGGAGAUAUUAUGCCCGAACAGAGCAAAGCUGAUAACCGUUUCAUUCGACACAAACAUUCUUAAAGCAAUGCAGCUCAUGAGUGAGCAUCACAUACGACAUGUUCCAGUGAUCGAUGGGAAGGUGGUAGGCAUGAUUUCUGUUGCGGAUAUUGUAAAAGCGGUGGUUGAUCAACAAACUGGAGAAGUAAAGCAACGGAAUCAGUUCAUCCGAGGAGAUUACUAUUGAAAACAAUAUUUAGCAACCUCGAAACUUUGUUUGUUGAUAUACAUGAAAAGCUAUUACCAAAACAAUACUGUCAUUUUCUCAGGAUAUUUCUCUAUAUAUCUGCUAAGUCACUUUCUUCUGCCAACAAGAAAUUGAUUUGGCAAAUCAUGACUUGCUGAAUUAAGUGUAUCAAAUUGUAAACAGUGGACAUAAGUACUCAAAUUUUAUAUCAUUGUGUAUCUUAUUAAACUAAUUUUUUAAAUGAUACUUGGGAAAUUUUACUAGUAA